UACGAAGGGGGCUAGCGUUGCUCGGAAUCACUGGGCGUAAAGCGCACGUAGGCGGAUUCUUAAGUCAGGGGUGAAAUCCUGGAGCUCAACUCCAGAACUGCCUUUGAUACUGAGGGUCUUGAGUUCGGGAGAGGUGAGUGGAACUGCGAGUGUAGAGGUGAAAUUCGUAGAUAUUCGCAAGAACACCAGUGGCGAAGGCGGCGUCCUGGACUGCAACUGACACUGAGUGAACGAAAGCCAGGGGAGCAAACGGG
rnacentral:rRNA from 1 species